AUUGAACGCUGGCGGCAUGCUUUACACAUGCAAGUCGAACGGCAGCGCGGGCUUCGGCCUGGCGGCGAGUGGCGAACGGGUGAGUAAUGCAUCGGAACGUGCCCAGUAGUGGGGGAAGGCCGGCCAAAAGCGGGAUAAAUACGCAAAACGGCCUGGGGGGGAAACGGGGGGCCGGAAAGCCCCCCCGCAUUGGGGCGGCCCGAUGUCGGAUUAGCUAGUUGGUGGGGUAAAGGCUUACCAAGGCGACGAUCCGUAGCUGGUCUGAGAGGACGACCAGCCACACUGGGACUGAGACACGGCCCAGACUCCUACGGGAGGCAGCAGUGGGGAAUUUUGGACAAUGGGGGCAACCCUGAUCCAGCCAUGCCGCGUGCGGGAAGAAGGCCUUCGGGUUGUAAACCGCUUUUGUUCGGGAAGAAAUCCUCUGGGCUAAUACCCCGGGGGGAUGACGGUACCGGAAGAAUAAGCACCGGCUAACUACGUG
rnacentral:rRNA from 1 species